rnacentral:rRNA from 1 species
UUCCCUUAGUAACGGCGAGCGAAACGGGAAUAGCCCAGCACGAAGACCAACAGUUGUCAUGACUGUUUGGUGAUGCCGUGUGCAGGAGUGCCUAUUAUCUUGCAUCAAAAUAGUGUGUCCAAGUCCAUCUUGAAUGAGGCCAUGUACCCAUAGAGGGUGCUAGGCCCGUAGUGACUGCUAUUGGUGUAAGAAGGUAUCUCCUUGGAGUCGUGUUGCUUGAUAGUGCAGCACUAAGAGGGAGGUAAACUUCUUCUAAGGCUAAAUAUUACCAUGAGACCGAUAGCGAACAAGUACCGUGAGGGAAAGUUGAAAAGCACUCUGAAUAGAGAGUCAAAAAGUACGUGAAACUGUUUAAGGGAUUAAGCCUGAUGAACCUAAAUUUCUGAAUGGGGAUAUUCAAUAUUACCGCAUCAGUAAUGGUGUGGUGGUGUGCACUUAUCCUCUAGUAAGACGAUGCGAUCCGUUAGAAAAAUUGUGUGUUCUGUACAUAGGCCCGGGUAGGAGUUUAGUCUUUUUGUGAGUACCAUGAAUUUGUUUUUAUGGGAAAGCGUCUAAACUACUUGGUGUUCUUACAGAUAUCUGACGGUUUCAAAAUGCUGCAUUUGGAUGCUACGGCAUCAGCACGCUCGUCGUGCAGUGCAUGCAU